rnacentral:rRNA from 1 species
GUACGCUAUUCAGAGUUUGAUCCUGGCUCAGGAUGAACGCUGGCGGCGUGCUUAACACAUGCAAGUCGAACGAAGCACUCUAUUUGAUUUCUUCGGAAUGAUUAUUUUGUGACUGAGUGGCGGACGGGUGAGUAACGCGUGGGUAACCUGCCUCAUACAGGGGGAUAACAGUUGGAAACGACUGCUAAUACCGCAUAAGCGCACAGGACCGCAUGGUCUGGUGUGAAAAACUCCGGUGGUAUGAGAUGGACCCGCGUCUGAUUAGCCAGUUGGUGGGGUAACGGCCUACCAAGGCGACGAUCAGUAGCCGACCUGAGAGGGUGACCGGCCACAUUGGGACUGAGACACGGCCCAA